rnacentral:lncRNA from 1 species
CUUUUUUAUUUUCUACACACUCGCCAUGUUUUUGCUGUCACAUCGUAUCUACAUGGACGCGACAAAGCAUUGCAAAUCAUUUCAACGUAGCGUCAGUACGUUAUAAAUAGAACGAGUCAGCAGUUUACUGACGGGGAUUUGUCAUGUUGCGCCGCAUCCAAGACAGCAUCACUGAUUAUAACGAGUUCUAUUGUAUUUUAUUGCAUCGCGCCGUGCCGCUCGCGUCCGGUGUAGAAACGACGUAAGUUAAUGUAGCUUUCUGAUGGUGCGUUUGAAUUUUCAUGCCACAUUAUUUGAAAUUAGCGUGGGCCAAACUUUUUUCUCUCACGGGCCGGAUGUGGCCCGCGGACCACCUAUUGAGGAAACUUGAUGUACUGGUUACUCCACUGCACACCUCGGAUCACUUCCUCCUCACUCUUAACCUCAACAUGGAUCCUGACUCAACACAUACCCAUCCACAUGUCAUCUUUCGACGUAACCUACGCUCAUUCUCACCCUCCUGGAUAUCUGCUAUGGUUUCAUCUUCGCUUCUUCCCCCUAAACGGUUAUCAUCUCUUGAUGCUAACAGUGCUACUGAUACCUUCUGCUCCACUCUUACAUUUUGUUUAGACACUGUCUGCCCCUUGUCUUCCAGGCCAGGCCAUACCACUCCUUCUGCCCCUUGGCUGUCUGAUGUUCUCCGCGAGCAUCGUUCUAAGCUCAGGGCUGCUGAAAGUGUGUGGCGCACAUCAAAAAAUCUUACUGACCUUAAUGUAUAUCAGUCACUCCUCUCUUCCUUCUCUGCUAAUGUCUCCACUGCUAAAAGGACAUACUUUUAUUACAAAAUUAACAAUUUGUCUAACUCUCGCAUGCUCUUUAAAACAUUUUCCUCCAUCCUUUGUCCUCCUCCUCCUUCCCCUCAAUCAACUCUAACAGCUGACGACUUUGCCACGUUCUUAAUUAAUAAAAUAAAAACCAUCAGUGCACAAUUUUCCACACCAUAAUCUGUCAGGCACAUCUUAACAGCAAACAUACACUCGUUUACAUCUUUCUCUUCACUCUCUGAGGCAGAAGUCUCCAA